CCUACGGGAGGCAGCAGUGGGGAAUUUUGGACAAUGGGCGCAAGCCUGAUCCAGCAAUGCCGCGUGAGUGAAGAAGGCCUUCGGGUUGUAAAGCUCUUUUGUCAGGGAAGAAACGGUGGAGGUUAAUACCUUCUGCUAAUGACGGUACCUGAAGAAUAAGCACCGGCUAACUACGUGCCAGCAGCCGCGGUAAUACGUAGGGUGCAAGCGUUAAUCGGAAUUACUGGGCGUAAAGCGUGCGCAGGCGGUUGUGCAAGACAGAUGUGAAAUCCCCGGGCUCAACCUGGGAAUUGCAUUUGUGACUGUACGGCUAGAGUGUGUCAGAGGGGGGUAGAAUUCCACGUGUAGCAGUGAAAUGCGUAGAGAUGUGGAGGAAUACCGAUGGCGAAGGCAGCCCCCUGGGAUAACACUGACGCUCAUGCACGAAAGCGUGGGGAGCAAACAGGAUUAGAUACCCCGUGGUACGUCCACCGACCCGUAAACGAUCGUACUACGUUAGUUCGGUUCGGGUUUACUUUUAGUUCGUACGUUUAGGGUAACCGCGACGUACGUAACCGCGGUUAGGAAAGUACGGACCCGCCGGGUGGGGGUAACGGUUACCGGGGUUCCGACGAAAGUUAAACGUUUAAAACCGUACUUAAAAGUUAGUUAAAGUUUCGGGACCGGGUUCGUUAGGACGUUACCGUUCCGGACCGGACGGACCGACCGGACGGGAGGGGUUAGGAGG
rnacentral:rRNA from 1 species